rnacentral:tRNA from 1 species
AUUUAUAUAAUAUAAAAAUUAUAAUUGACUUCCAAUCAAUAAAUCUAGGUAUUCUAGUAUAAAUA